GGAUGCGAUCAUACCAGCACUAAAGCAUCGGAUCCCAUCAGAACUCCGAAGUUAAGCGCGCUUGGGCGAGAGUAGUACUAGGAUGGGUGACCCCCUGGGAAGUCCUCGUGUUGCAUCCC
rnacentral:rRNA from 1 species